rnacentral:lncRNA from 1 species
CUACUAUUCACUGAACCCACCACAUGCUCCGGAACAAAAUGCCUGACUCCUAAUUAGGGAGCGUUAAUAGGAGAUUAAUUAGCACUAAUUGCAUAAUUUCCAGUUAAACCUCCAGAGGGUAGACCAAUCUGUUCAUCUCACCAAGUGUUUAAUUACUUUAGUUUAUUUCUUAUAUUCUAUCGAUGAGUCACAAGUCACAACCUCCUAACUCCAACAUGAAGUGAGGACAUCUUAUGACUUGUUUCUUAGGAGAUCAGAAAAAGAGAAUUGGAUCAAAUUUAGGAAAAUGUAUGCAGGUUCUGAAGUACUGCUGUCUCCUCGUGCACAAUCAAGGUCUUUCUGAAUGCAUAUGAUCACCUCAAGAUUACAGAUGACAGGGUGGAGGAUGUUUCACCAGAGAUGUUUAAGGAACACAAUGGGUUCUAUAAGUCCCUGUUCUCCCUGCAGCAGACCCCUUGUUCCCUACAGCACCUGGCUUGCUGGACGCUACAGAACAACCUGGAUGGACACGUGCACAAGGUGGUGCCACACCUAGACCUGCCCACCUUCAUCAAGAACAACCUGCUGCUGAAGUUCAAAGACAACGUUCACUGAGUCAGAGAUAGAGCCAGGAUGUAUAUAAGCCCUAAACACUGGAUGUAUGGUAUACAUGGUAUGAUAUGAUGAGAGCUCCCAGCACUAUAGAGCUCUGUAUGUACUGUAGGCUACAGCACAAACACUUGGAAACACUAGGAAUUCAGUCUGUCUGUGACAAUAUUUGUUUUGCAGAGUGACACAGAAGGAGGGUCAUCGUCACAGAUAUACUGAUUGUGGUACUAAGUUGACUACCACUCCUGGGUCCAGAAUCCUUGAGAUUGCAGAGUGUGAGUAAAUGGAUACCAUUAUGUACUGUACAAUAUAUGGCAAAACAAUCUAUGUAAAAAUGUAUGUAUUUACAAUUGAUUGUAUUCAUUGUUUUGCUAUUUUGGUUCACAAGUAAAAAUGUUAUUUGCUUUACAAGCAGAACCGUGUUACUCCGCGUCACCACAAGGGGGUGUUGUGGUCUUUAAAUGACAAAUUAAUGAGAUGUACUGUAUUAGAGGGCUGGCUUCGUGUUUUUUUCUAGGAUAUUUGUCAACGAAUGGUGUAACUUUUGUAUUUAUAGUGCUAUCAUUGAACUGAAGUGUACGUGCGUAAUGUAGUGUAAAAUAAUGGAGUAAAGGAAAUAGAUGUACAUAUUGAGCUUUUUCCCCAAAGUAGUCGUGACUUCAGGCUUAGCACCUUGUCAUAUAUGGUAAGAUAGUGAGAUCAGUCAGUAUAUGAAAAGAAAUGUGCGCACUGCUUUAUCACAAAAAGGAACCAAUUAUGGAUGUAGCUAUAGCCUAGUAAGUAUUUGGUAGAGAAAUAAUUACUACUUUUUAGAAGAAAAUAAUUCCUAAAUUAACAAAAAGUGUGCUCUAUAACUCAGUCACUCUUUGUCAGAAUAUUUCUCAUUAAGCUAAAUGAUUACAUUUAAGCUCUGCCACUUGUAUCCAAAGCGAUUUACAGGAGCAAUUAGGGUUCAAGUGCCUUGCUCAAGUCGGCUCGGGGCGACUUUUCGGUUACUGGCCCCACGCUCUUAACUGCUAGGUUACCUGCCACCCCAGAUUAGAACGUUAUGUGAUACCACUGGCUUUACGGAAGUGAAUGCAGGCUGUGACUUCAGUCAUUUUGGAAAUAAUUCAACAUUAACUGAAAAAUGUAUUUAUAAAGACUUCAUCGGAAUAAAUAUGAGAGACUGUCAUGCAAAGGCUCGGUGGUUAUCUUAUAUUACAAAAAGUGUCAGACAAAUACAACACGUCAGUGAUG